GACGAACGCUGGCGGCGCGCUUAACACAUGCAAGUCGAGCGAAGCGGCGGACGGGUGAGUAACACGUGAGUAACCUGCCUUAGACAUUGGGAUAGCCUCGGGAAACCGGGAUUAAUACCAAAUGGUCUACGCGGGACUCGCGUCCCAUUAGCUAGUUGGUGGGUAACGGCCCCCCAAGGCGACGAUGGGUAGCCGGCCUGAGAGGGGGAACGGCUACAUUGGAACUGAGAAACGGGCCAAACGCGCCGGGAGGAAGAAGUGGGGAAUAUUGCACAAUGGAGGGAACUCUGAUGCAGCGAAGCCGGGUGAACGAAGAAGGCUGUCGAGUCGUAAAGUUCUUUUAUAUGGGAAGCGGUACCAUAAGAAAAAGCCCCGGCUAACUACGUGCCAGCAGCCGCGGUAAUUC
rnacentral:rRNA from 1 species